rnacentral:rRNA from 1 species
CAAAUUUAAAAUCUGGCUGGUUUACUAGUCCGAGUUGUAGUUUAAAGAAGCGUUUUCGGUGGCAGUCUCGGUAUAAAUCCUUUGGAAUAGGGUAUCAUAGAGGGUGAGAAUCCCGUCUUUGACUGAGAAUAUGCUACUAUGUGAUACGUUUUCAAAGAGUCGAGUUGUUUGGGAAUGCAGCUCAAAAUGGGUGGUAAAUUUCAUCUAAGGCUAAAUAUUGGCGAGAGACCGAUAGCGAACAAGUACCGUGAGGGAAAGAUGAAAAGAACUUUGAAAAGAGAGUUAAACAGUGCGUGAAAUUGUUAAAAGGGAAACGCUUGAAACCAGUCAUGCGGUUGGGAAAUCAGUCUCUGACAAGGGGGAAUGGGAGAGGUGUGGACCGCAAGGCCGCUCUUUUUCAUAUCUUUCGUGGCAGGGAUGCACUUUUUCUUCUGCAGGUCAACAUCAGUUUGCUUUGCCGGACAAAACUCUUGGAAAGGUGAUAGCUUAGGCUAUGUUAUAGUCCAAGAGCGAUACGGUGGAGCGGACUGAGGCUUUCGCAGCAUGUGCUCUCGGGCAAGGCUGAUUGGGUGCUAUGGGAUCGUUCAGAGUACAAUACAUGUAUUUUGCUUUGUGUCUUUUCUAUACUCGCUCAACUCGGCUCUUCCAUGCUUAGGAUGUUGACAUAAUGGUUCUAAUCGACCCGUCUUGAAACACGGACCAAGGAGUCUAACAUAUAUGCAAGUGUUUGGGUGGCAAACCCGUGCGCGUAAUGAAAGUGAACGUAGGUGCCAUCCGCAAGGUGCAGCAUCGACCGAUCUUGAUAUUUUUGGAUAGAUUUGAGUAAGAGCAUAUACGCUGGGACCCGAAA